rnacentral:lncRNA from 1 species
GAGAGGUGGCUCGGCUAGGGGAUUUUUUUUGGGCGCCAUGACUGGGAGCAGAGGGUCAAGCUGCUGCUGCUAUGGAGUCCUUGCUGCUGGAAUUUCUGGGCGUCCAUGGGAGGUGGAGCGCAGAGCUGCUGCGCAGUGGGGCAAAAGGGGAGCAAGGGCUGGCAGCCAUGAACAGGGGGCUGCUGCUGGCGUGAGGGAGGAGUGGAAGAGCUGCAGCCGUGGGGAGGAAGAAGGUGAGGGGUGACGCCCAUGGAGCAGGGCUCGCUGGUGGCUGCUGCCGCCCUGCGCAAGGAGGAAGAAGGUGCGUGGGGGAGAAAGGAGAAGAGAGUGGCGGCUGGAAUUUUUUGAGGGGUGAGAGUGGAAAAUUUUCAAGUGAGCACCCCUAUUUAUAGAAGCAACCCUAGGGUUAGGGUUCUUUAGUGGGCCUAGUGGGCUGGGAUGGAUUUGGCCCAAAUACGUACUCGGGCCGCGUUAAUUUAUUUUCCCGAAUAAAAAUGCUCCCGCGGAAUUCGUCUGUACGCGGAACAGAGUGAAACAGAAUUCGGACGAACGGACGACUACGCGAUUAACUCGGUCGAGAGGUUGAUUUGGCUUUGCUCGAAAAUAAUUCCCUACGCGUGAUUUGAAAAUAAAUCGUCUUAAGAUUUGAUCGGCUUUGGAUUUUUAGCCGGAGAAGGCGAAUCGUGAUAUUUUUAAAAUUGCUGUCGAUACGGGGUUCUGAAUUUGGUUUGGACAUGAGAUAUUUGGCUGAGUCGAGUAAGAAAUAAUUAGAGGACGACGUACUGAGUAUUCCGUGUGAGAGUACGGAGUCGGAUUAAUUUUUGGACAUAGAUCGAACAUGGAUCGAAGUUUCGAGGAAUUAGAUUCGGGCUCAGAUCAGAUAACAGUCGUCGAGAGUUUGAUUUUAAAGAGCUUCAGAUGAGAUUUAUAAUUCGAGAAUGAUCUUCGAGUCUGCAUUAGUUCCGAGAAUUAAAAGUUUUAACACGCUCCAAAAUUGGCUGUUUCUCGCGAUCGAUUAACUCUGAAUUCGGUGAACUUCCAAGAGAAAGCCUGAUAAACAGAGAUAGACACGAUCGGGAAAUAGAAAUUUUUUACCGAGCAUCCGAGAGUAGGAUUAAUCUCCCGACAUAACGCGAAAUAGACACCUGGGGUGUCACAGCCUUCCCCCCUUAAACAGAAUCUCGUCCCGAGAUUCGAAUGAGGAUAUUUAAGGGUGGAGAAGCAUAUAACUCCCAGACUGAAGAUAGAUGCAAAUUCAUGAGAGGGUAUCUGACAAGAUACCGAAGACAGAUUUGGUUAGAAUAUCGCGACAUAUCGAGACAAAAUGCAGCGAUCAUUCUGAGAGAAUGUUCACAAAAGAUAACACAUCAGUAUAGUCUCGUAAUGGAUCACGAUUAUUAACCGCGAUACCAGCGCGUACCGAGCAGCUCAACCAUGUGUGCACCAUAGUAGGCUCUCGGUCUCGUCGCGGCACCAUCAGUCGUUAGUCAUAACACCAUUACGAAACACAACCAAUGAGAAAUCCACAUAGCACAUAUAGAUGGAGCCCAUGAGAGUAUGGCUCAGAAAAUAAGAAUGUGACCGGUGUUGAAGCAAAGAUUGUUGGCAAAAGAGCAUCACAUGAGAAUUUUCUUCAACUCAAAGAACUAUUUUAUGAUCAACAUGGAGAUUAUCAGAUCAGAUAUUAGCACGAGAUUUGAUAUGAGGAUGAAUCGACCAUGAGAUCAAGAUUGAUGAGCUUUUAGAGGCAUGAGAGAAUUAAAGUCAAUAACAUAAUCCAUUGAACCAAAUGGAUCCACUGCUUAGAGAUGAAAUCGAUAAAACAGUGUCAUGAUCCUCAGAGAAGGGGGUAUGAGAACGAUCAGAAAUGAGAGAUUUAGGCGAGAUCAACAUCUGAUACUUGAGAACAGGUUAUAGCAGAUAACCAGAUAACGGGGCAGAAUCGAUAAAGGAUCCAGGGAUUCGGAUGAUAAUCCACAACAUGAUUCAUAAAGGUAACGAUUUACUAGAUCCAGGUGAAAAGAGAGGCAGUCGCAUGAGAUCGCUUAGGAUGAGCAGCAGAAAGGUUAUGAAGAUUUGGGGCAAGAUCUAUGGAAUGAAACAUGGCCUUGAUAGGGUUUGCGCAACUAGACACCUAACAACAAUUUUUUUUGACGUAACAAGUGCACAAGGAGACUUGGGAUGGUCUAGCAGUCAAGUUGUGGUGGUCUAUAAGUUGUGCAGGUGUAAAAUUCAAGUGUAAAACACAGAAGGGCUAAAAACACAAAAACAAGCACAUGAUAAUAAUUUUUUUAAGGUUUUACAAGGGAACCACUAGGUUGUUUGGAGAAGGAGGUCUUUUUAUGGGCAAAACAGGCAACAAUUUUUUUUUAUUGGCAAAGAGGGUUCAACAAUUACAAUACCACCUAGCUAGCAAGACAAGAGAAACACAUAGCACGACCUAACAAGACUUACCAAUCUGACACGAGGAAGGCAUUUCUUAUAGUUCCUAACAUAUCAAUACAUUACAUUAUUCACAAGUUCUUAUUAUUGGAAUAAAGGUGAGAGAAGCAUGUUGGUGCACAAGAGACAAUGAUGCGACAAUCAUGAUGCAUGCUCAUUCUAGUCGUCUUCUCAGACCUAACUAAUUUUCGGGUGCUUCUACAGCAUCCUUAUUAAUAGUAGUAGUAGCCUUUAUGGCCUAAAUAACUAGCCACCUAGCUACCCAUCUAUUCCUAAGGCUUCACGUCCUAGGUCUAUCCUUAUCGUCCUGACGAUCUAUCCAACUUUGGUUUCUAGCAAGUUUUACUUUAGAAAAGGUUGGUAAUCAUGACUUAUUGACUUCUCUGUGAUGGUAUUCGCUCCGAUGCCAGCUGUGGCGGAACCGCCCGAAUUAUUCCAGCUUAAGUGCCCAAGUCACACCCAUAAGGGCAGCAACACACUUAAACAGGAAUAACCUGCCAGUCCCUCGGAUCUAGUCCGAUAAAGCCACUUAUCCAGGAUCGAAUACCACUAGCUCACUCGAAGGUGAGGCAGAGAAAUACAAUAAAACAUAAUACCACAAAUUUAAUAAGUAUCAUUAGUGAUUACAUUAUCGAAGUUUCAGAAAUAAUAACCAUAAAUUUUAAUGCAGCGGAAAUAACUAACGGAGAAGAACCGAGUAACAUGGCGAAGCCUGGCCACACUACUCCUCCUGGUCCUCUCCUGCGGAAGCAAUAACCCACUUGACUGUCUAUCCCGGUGGCAGGGAUGGAGGCCAAGUCACACCAUCAACCACAACAAGGAGGUACCUGCAAAAAUUGUGCCACAAGCAAGGCUGAGUAUACUAAUACUCAGCUAGACUUACCCGGUGUGAGGAGUCUACUCCUCUACCUCUAGACAUGCAGCUGUUUGGCUGAGGGGUUUGGUUUGCCAAAAGCACUAGCUGAGUCUAAAAUCAAGUUUUAGCUUUUCAAGUUUUAGUAUGAUCCUUUUUAAACUAGAUGAGUACCUAGCUACUCAUACAUGAUAUCAAACAUUUUUAAGCAAUCAACAUCUUUUUCCAGUCACCUCAUUUCCACUUAUUACUCAAUGUAGCAGCAUGGAUCAAGCAGUCUCAUUAGCUGCGAGAAGCAGACGAUUCGAAUCGAGUUUUUAAACCUUGCAAGGUAAACCUAAACACACGACAUGCAGGGGCACUCCGUCCCCACACAUAUCAACCGUCCCCAUCGAUUCCCCGUCAGCAGAGAGGGGCUCACCGCCUUGGCGUACAAUGCCUCACUGACCCCGACUGGCCGUCGUGCAGUGACCGCACUUGUACCCACCAUAACCGGAAUGGGAGACCUCGUCUCAGGUCGCAUGAGGAGGGCAAUCUGCUGCCGGGUUCAAUCAGGUACUAGGCUUACCGAUUUACCAUAUUUCUCGGCAUAUGUUUAGUACGUUCAAACGCUUGACACACGGUACCACACCUUAAUCCUUAUUCCAAUUUCCGUCUCGAAGACUACGCAUCCCCAUGGACCGUCGUCAACAGACCAUCAUCAUUACGAUAUGAAAAUGGAUACAACCAAUUCCUGACCUCGCGCGAGUGCUAGAAAAAUCACUCGACUUCUACCGAGAUCCCUAAUUAUUAAAGCAGCUACUCGACCUAGCAUACUAGUAUCCAUCUCAAAAGGAAUCCUGAGUUCAUGCAACUAAGGUUCCAGUCAACUCCUACACUUAAGUGUACAGUACAAGCCUACAAACAUUAAGUGUAGUAAAAUAGUAUAUAUAAACGGUUAUGCAUAAAACCGGGGCUUGCCUUUAAUUUGACACUUAGAUAGUGUUUGCUGGGGGAGGUACUCGCUUGGCGAGCAUCCACUGGUUAUGUCCAUCCUUCCUUGGGUCGUCCACCGACUGCAUCUUGGGGUUGGCACCACAUCACUUGCACGGUCGUCACCUCUCGGUCCUAAAUGAGAUGCAGGAUGCAUAUGUAUGAAUACAAUGAAAAAUAUAACAAGCUAUAUAAAUACAUGGUAGCAAACUAACAUUUAAUUGUAAGACACCGCAACGACUAUACACAAGCGCUAGAUAUUCGUAUGUUAUCGGCGUUCAUCAUUAACACCAUUAACAAGACGACCACAUUUUAUUUCUUUACGCAACACAAUUACGAUAUGACAAGUACACACAUUUUAUUUAUUUGGAUACGGCUUUUUAUUAGUUCUCCGAUUAAUCGCGCAAAAGUAUCACCGACCACACAAGUCCAACCAAGACAACGUAAGCUGGAAUACGACAUAGGCAUCACUAACUACGGAACUCCUAGAUCCUAAUCAACUAGAGCAGAAACAUAUAAAACAGGACACUUAGGCGAUAUUAAGCUUAGUCAUGGCAAGUCUACAUUUAUUUAAGAGCAAGCCAAACGUUUUUAGCGAGAAGGGUGAACUAAACAAUCAAAAACGCACUAGCAGAAUUUUUGGACAGCAAUACAGCAGUCACUUGUUUCAGUCAUAACUCACAAGAUAUUUACCUAAAAAUAGUAAACUAGGACUUUCUAGAAAGCUUGAAAAGUGCUUUACAACUUUGGUAUUGUCAUCACAGCAUGAUUAAACACUUAGCAAGGUCAAAAGGUGUUAACACAACAGUGUUGUCCAGAUUUGGACAGAUUCAGACUUGUGACUUUAAAAAUUCAUAACUGAAGAUUCAGACAUCAAAACAAGGUGAUCUUAGACUUUCUGGAAAGCUAAUUAACUGCUCUACCAAUUAUUUAUAAACAUCCCUGGCUGGUUUAGUAUGUAUCAAGGGUAAAAUAUAUUAUGAAGGCUGUGCUGUCCAAAACUGGACAGAUUCAGUCUUCACACUUCAAACACAUGUAACUUAAUCUUCAGACCACCAAAAAUAGUGAUCCAAGACUUUUUGGAAAGCUUGGAAAAAGCACUAUAUAAAUUUUAUAAUCACCAAGAAGUGAUUCCAGGUUUAAUCAAAUCAAACAUUACAGUUUUCGAAAUCUGUUCUGACAGAGGACAGAACACAGCAAUCAGUUUGCAAAUUUCAUAACUCCUAAACCGUCAGACCUUUAGUUAUGAAAUUUUAACACAAGCAAGAUCAGAAAAGCAUCUACAACUUUCUUAUAACGACCAUGAACAGAUUGCAACAUUAAAUUGAGCAAACAAUGCAGUUUCUGAAAUCUGUACAGAAUUUGGACAGAUUAAGUUACUGAAUUUGUAAAAAUCCUAACUCCUAAACCGUCAGACCUAUGGCUGUCAAAUUUUAACACCAGCAAGAUAAUAAGGUUAUCUACCACUUUUCUAUAGCACAUAUCUACAGAAAACACAAUCUAGUUCAUCAAACAUACAGCACACCGAAAACAGUACGUGCAGCCCAAAACAGCAAUCAACACAUUUCAGCUUCUAUACAAUUCCAGAAUUGCCGCGUUCUAGAGACUUGAAUUAUUAUAACACUUUGACAUUUGUUAGAGUUAAAAUAACCAAGUGAGAACUAACAAGUAGACUUACUAAUUCUUAUACAAGUUAUUUUGCGCACUAAAAGCACCAUACUCAAUUAACAAUGCAUUCUCUAUAACAAUCAAUAUCAAAGCGCUUUUCACCAAUAGUUUGCAUUUUAAUUUAGACAUCACCUGAGCACUACUACUUUUCAUCACGACCAUAAACAUACGCAUUUAGACCACAACAUCAUACGAGGAUAUAUGCAUACUAGUUUCUAGUUUUACAUCUACAACUUCUUUACUAGUUAUUUUCAGCCACUUAAUCGGCAUCGAUUGAAUUAAACCUCUAACUCGACAAUUUGGGCACCACAAAUUUUCAGAAUUCUACCUAGACAUUUAGCGUCAUAUAGAGAGUCUACUAAUUAACUUGCCACCACUUGAAGUACUGGAAACACCUACAUAUAACAAUCACUCAACGCAAUUGAAUUCCUCUAUUUAACAAGCGUUGGCUAACACAGCAUAAAAAAAUAGUAAUUCAUACACAAGUUCAUAUUUUUCUCAAUCAUAACACUAUGAGACCAACCAAACUAGUUUCACCAUUUUAGACAUCUUAACUUAAAAUAUAGCUAAAAGUAAUUCGAUUAGUUUUCUUAACUACUUUUCUAUAUUAGGUCACGUAGCUCCCAAUUAAUCAACACACCAUAUUUCCUUUGACGCAACAGGUAGAGCACGUUUACUUGUUUCUAACAAUCUUUGGGUAUCAACAAUUAAUUGCCUUAUGGUAUUUAUCCGACUCGAAAACAUAGAGAAGGUGACGACUACUAUGGCAUGUCGUCACCUCAUCUUAAUCGCAUAAUAAAUUUUAGCUUUACUGAUCGAGUCUGCCGACUAACCGUUUAAACUAGUAAAACCUAUCCUUCGCAUCAAACAACACAUCACACAUCUUCCUAUCGAAACGUAAAAACAUCCGAGUUCUUUUCUACUUCCUUUUUCUUUCGCCACGAACUUCAAUCCAUACCAAUACAAUUUUUAAACACGCACCACAUCGACCAAAACACAAUUAGACAACUACAAAUCGCACGCAUCAAACAAUACAUCGCAUAUAUUCCUAUCGAAAUAUAAAAACGUUGGAGUCCUUUUCUACGUCUUUUUCUUUUGCCACGAACUUCAAUCCAUACAAAUACAUUUUCUUACACAUGCACAACAUAGACCAAAGCUUAAACAGAUUAAUCCACAAAAUACCAAGUGAACAACCUGGACGAAUCGAGGCUAGUCACAUGGGCUGUCCAUAAGGCUUGGCAUUUCGUCGAACGGCCAAACGCGGAGCGUGAUUUUGACGGUGGCUGCGAUAAUACACGAGUUUAGGGGCUUGGCAUAUCGUCGACACCAUGGAUACAAAAACAGCAAGGGUAGCGGGAUGUCUCACCGAGGGUCGACGAUGUCGCGAGCGGGUCUGCGCCAAAAACAGUGAACACCCGGGGAGCGUCACAACGUGCUGCAACAACACAUCUCCCUUGACAUUAUGCCGAGCACUUGGCAUGCGCGCAGCGGUAGCAGCGAGGAAGCCGGGGCUUGCAGGAACAGCGGCGUUUCGCCGAGGAGCUGCGCAGCGAGGGAAGGUGGGGCGAGCUGCUGCUGUGCGAGGGAGAAGGAGCAAGGGAACAGGGGCGCUGGCUGGGAGAGGUGGCUCGGCUAGGGGAUUUUUUUUUGGGCGCCAUGGCUGGGAGCAGAGGGUCAAGCUGCUGCUGCUAUGGAGUCCUUGCUGCUGGAAUUUCUGGGCGUCCAUGGGAGGUGGAGCGCAGAGCUGCUGCGCAGUGGGGCAAAAGGGGAGCAAGGGCUGGCAGCCAUGAACAGGGGGCUGCUGCUGGCGUGAGGGAGGAGUGGAAGAGCUGCAGCCGUGGGGAGGAAGAAGGUGAGGGGUGACGCCCAUGGAGCAGGGCUCGCUGGUGGCUGCUGCCGCCCUGCGCAAGGAGGAAGAAGGUGCCUGGGGGAGAAAGGAGAAGAGAGUGGCAGCUGGAAUUUUUUG